rnacentral:rRNA from 1 species
AACGAACGCUGGCGGCAGGCUUAACACAUGCAAGUCGAGCGAGACCUUCGGGUCUAGCGGCGGACGGGUGAGUAACGCGUGGGAACGUGCCCUUCUCUACGGAAUAGCCCCGGGAAACUGGGAGUAAUACCGUAUACGCCCUUUGGGGGAAAGAUUUAUCGGAGAAGGAUCGGCCCGCGUUGGAUUAGGUAGUUGGUGGGGUAAUGGCCCACCAAGCCGACGAUCCAUAGCUGGUUUGAGAGGAUGAUCAGCCACACUGGGACUGAGACACGGCCCAGACUCCUACGGGAGGCAGCAGUGGGGAAUCUUAGACAAUGGGGGCAACCCUGAUCUAGCCAUGCCGCGUGAGUGAUGAAGGCCUUAGGGUGGUAAAGCUCUUUCAGCUGGGAAGAUAAUGACGGUACCAGCAGAAGAAGCCCCGGCUAACUCCGU